GUGAGGAAUAUUGGACAAUGGCCGAGAGGCUGAUCCAGCCAUGCCGCGUGCGGGAAGACGGCCCUAUGGGUUGUAAACCGCUUUUGUUGGAGAGCAAUAAGAGUUACGUGUAACUUGAUGAGAGUAUCCAGCGAAUAAGCAUCGGCUAACUCCGUGCCAGCAGCCGCGGUAAUACGGAGGAUGCAAGCGUUAUCCGGAUUUAUUGGGUUUAAAGGGUGCGUAGGCGGAUGAUUAAGCGUGAGGUGAAAUGCCACGGCUCAACCGUGGAACUGCCUCGCGAACUGGUUGUCUGGAAUGCCCCUGCCGUGGGAGGAAUGUGUGGUGUAGCGGUGAAAUGCAUAGAGAUCACACAGAACACCGAUUGCGAAGGCAUCUCACGAAGGGGUGAUUGACGCUGAGGCACGAAAGCGUGGGGAUCAAACAGG
rnacentral:rRNA from 1 species